GAUAAUCAAUGUAGAUUGAAUUCAUGUUUCGGCCAUGAAUCUGUAGAUGGCUUAUUU
rnacentral:tRNA from 1 species